AUUGAACGCUGGCGACAUGCCUUACACAUGCAAGUCGAACGGCAGCAUGGAGAGCUUGCUCUCUGAUGGCGAGUGGCGAACGGGUGAGUAAAGCAUCGGAACGUACCGUGUAGUGGGGGAUAACGUAGCGAAAGUUACGCUAAUACCGCAUACGCACUGAGGUGGAAAGCAGGGGAUCGCAAGACCUUGCGCUAUACGAGCGGCCGAUGUCAGAUUAGCUAGUUGGUAGGGUAAAGGCCUACCAAGGCGACGAUCUGUAGCGGGUCUGAGAGGAUGAUCCGCCACACUGGGACUGAGACACGGCCCAGACUCCUACGGGAGGCAGCAGUGGGGAAUUUUGGACAAUGGGGGCAACCCUGAUCCAGCCAUGCCGCGUGAGUGAAGAAGGCCUUCGGGUUGUAAAGCUCUUUCGGCCGGGAAGAAAUCGCACAGGCUAAUACUCUGUGUGGAUGACGGUACCGGCAUAAGAAGCACCGGCUAACUACGUGCCAGCAGCCGCAGUAA
rnacentral:rRNA from 1 species